rnacentral:rRNA from 1 species
GAUGAACGCUGGCGGCGUGCCUAAUACAUGCAAGUCGAGCGAACGGACGAGAAGCUUGCUUCUCUGAUGUUAGCGGCGGACGGGUGAGUAACACGUGGAUAACCUACCUAUAAGACUGGGAUAACUUCGGGAAACCGGAGCUAAUACCGGAUAAUAUUUUGAACCGCAUGGUUCAAAAGUGAAAGACGGUCUUGCUGUCACUUAUAGAUGGAUCCGCGCUGCAUUAGCUAGUUGGUAAGGUAACGGCCUACCAAGGCAACGAUGCAUAGCCGACCUGAGAGGAUGAUCGGCCACACUGGAACUGAGACACGGUCCAGACUCCUACGGGAGGCAGCAGUAGGGAAUCUUCCGCAAUGGGCGAAAGCCUGACGGAGCAACGCCGCGUGAGUGAUGAAGGUCUUCGGAUCGUAAAGCUCUGUUAUUAGGGAAGAACAUAUGUGUAAGUAACUGUGCACAUCUUGACGGUACCUAAUCAGAAAGCCACGGCUAACUACGUG